UAGACGAGUCUCAAAAAGACCUCAACAUGGCCCAGAAGAGGACAACAAAACUGAUGGCAGAUGAACCUGACUUCCUGCAGUUCAACGAUUUGACCUGUGAGACAGUUGGAGGGAAAGCACCUAAGGAUGAGGAGGAUAUCUAUGUCAACAGAAAAAGCUACCAUUAAAUAAAUGUGCAAGUCAUCUGUGAUGCAACACUGCGCGUCACCAACCUUGAAGCUAAGUGGCCAGGACAAACCCAUGAUUCCUUCAUCCUGAUGAAUUCGGGAAUAGGCAUAAAAUUCAGCGAUGGAGAAAUGCCAGAUGGCUGGUUGUUAGGUGAUAGUGGCUAUGGCCUUCGACCCUGGCUGAUGACACCACUCCUUCACCCAGGAACACUGGCAGAGAGGCGCUACACAAGUGCACAAACAAAGACCCGCAAUAUUGUGGAGCGAUGCAUCGGUGUAGUGAAGUCUCGCUUCAGAUGCAUCGACCGUUCUGGAGGAGUGCUGCAGUACACACCUGAAAAAGCCUGUAAAAUCAUCACCUCAGCCUUCAUACUACACAACAUCUGCCAGAUGUAUCGCCUGCCAGUACCCAACAUCCCUGACGACCGCCCUGAGGAAGAUGGACAUGACCACCCUGCCCCAUGCGAGACUGGCAUCCAAGCUAGAAAUGACCUCAUUAGAAGGAGGUUCACCCAAGCAAAUUAAAGCAAAAUCUACUACACAAAAUGUAAAAUCACAAUGUAUAUAAAUAUCCCAUUUGAUUUGUUAGCAGUAUAAAAAAUGUUGUAGUUAGCAUAGUAAUAUUAUACCAUAGUAAUAUUUCAAAGAAUAUAAA